UACGAAGGGUGCAAACGUUGCUCGGAAUCAUUGGGCGUAAAGCGCACGUAGGCGGCCUUGUAAGUCGGACGUGAAAUCCCUCGGCUCAACCGAGGAAGUGCAUCCGAAACUGCGAGGCUCGAGUAUGGAAGAGGGUCGCAGAAUUCCCGGUGUAGAGGUGAAAUGCGUAGAUAUCUGGAGGAAUACCGGUGGCGAAGGCGGCAUCCUGGACCGACAUUGACGCUGAGGAGCGAAAGCUAGGGGAGCAAACGGG
rnacentral:rRNA from 1 species